CAAGGCAAUGAUUUUACGGAAUUUGUCUUUUUGUUAUUUAAAGAAGAGAGUCUACGUGCCGCCUGCUUUCAGAAAACACGUCUCUUGUCUGUAGUUACCAUUUCCCAAUCUCUAUCCAUAUCAGGGAAAAACAUUUAAACUCCGUUAAACAUGGACCAAGCAACAAUUGGCAUCUUUCACUUUCCUCUAAUCACCAGAACAUCACCUCCUUUUCUCCUUUUCUAAGAAAAUCACAUUAAAUAUUUAAAAAUAGUAAAAUUUUAACCAUCGAUUUAUUUAUUGGUUUGAUUGGAGGAGUAAAAUCGAAUAAAGACGAAGCUCAUUUGGGUUCUCUAUGAACAGUUUCUUAGUUCUCCAUUAAAAAUACUGUGAUUGCCUUUUCUUGCACUAGUGUUCUUUUUCCUAUUAUCUUUGCCAAACAUUGUUUUUUUUUUGGAUCUUAAUAUUGUAAUAUUAUAUUGACCUGUAUACAUGGCUGUCCUCCGGUUUAUUCUUUUAAUUUUAUAGCUGUAAUUUAGAAAAAAAAAAAAAUUAACGAUGCACGUGUCUGUAAAUUCUUAGCUUACAUGAAUUAGAACUGUAUGCUUGAUGCUUGCAGGAGUCUGGGCUUGUGCAUCUUGAGAAAACCGCAGACAAGUGGGGUGAGAAUGGAAAAGGUGAUGAGUGGCAAGAGAAAUGAUGGGAACAUUAUGAUGCCUCUAAUCAAGCUGAGAAAUGGGCACAUAAAUGGUGUUCCAUUGACCCAACUACAGAGCUUGAAGCUGGCCGUGCUCAUGUUUGGCAUGAAAGGUGGGGUGAGAAGUAUGAUGGACAUGGGGGCACCGUGAAAUACAGAGACAAAUGGGCUGAGCGAUGUGAAGGUGAUGGGUGGACUAAAUGGGGCGACAAAUGGGAUGAACAUUUUGAUCCAAAUGCCAAUGGUGUCAAGCAAGGGGAGACAUGGUGGGAAGGUAAGUAUGAAGAGCGAUGGAAUCGCACUUGGGGUGAGCGCCACAACGGUUCUGGAUGGGUUCACAAGUACGGGAAAGCCAGCAGUGGGGAGCACUGGGAUACACAUGUGGAACAAGAAACUUGGUAUGAGAGAUUCCCGCACUUCGGUUUCUAUCACUGCUAUGACAACACACUACGGCUCCGUGAAGUUCAGAGUCAGAUGCCAUCCGAUAGUUAUGAAUAAUAAAUUUUGCAUUUUCUCAAGUCUUAGUAUCUACUGUCUUAUUUUGAACUAACAAUUUCAUGACCAAAACAUCUGUACAUGUAUGUAUUCCACUGUUGCAGCUCAUGCAUAACAAGUGACGAAAAAAAUAUGAAGAUUUAUAUUUUUUUUCUCAAAA